AUUGAACGCUGGCGGCAGGCUUAACACAUGCAAGUCGAACGAGUGGCGGACGGGUGAGUAAUGUUUGGGAAACUGCCUGAUGGAGGGGGAUAACUACGGGAAACGGUAGCUAAUACCGCAUACAAUCAGAUGUGCCCAGAUGGGAUUUGCUAGUUGGUGGGGUAAUGGCUCACCAAGGCGACGAUCCCUAGCUGGUCUGAGAGGAUGACCAGCCACACGGGAACUGAGACACGGUCCAGACUCCUACGGGAGGCAGCAGUGGGUGAUAUUGCACAAUGGGCGCAAGCCUGAUGCAGCCAUGCCGCGUGUAUUAAGAAGGCCUUCGGGUUGUAAAGUACUUUCAGCGGGGAGGCGUUACCCGCAGAAGAAGCACCGGCUAACUCCGUGCCAGCAGCCGCGGUAAUUC
rnacentral:rRNA from 1 species